GAUGAACGCUGGCGGCGUACCUAAUACAUGCAAGUCGAGCGAACAGACGAGGAGCUUGCUCCUCUGACGUUAGCGGCGGACGGGUGAGUAACACGUGGAUAACCUACCUAUAAGACUGGGAUAACUUCGGGAAACCGGAGCUAAUACCGGAUAAUAUAUUGAACCGCAUGGCUCAAUAGUGAAAGACGGUUUUGCUGUCACUUAUAGAUGGAUCCGCGCCGCAUUAGUUAGUUGGUAAGGUAACGGCUUACCAAGGCGACGAUGCGUAGCCGACCUGAGAGGGUGAUCGGCCACACUGGAACUGAGACACGGUCCAGACUCCUACGGGAGGCAGCAGUAGGGAAUAUUCCGCAAUGGGCGAAAGCCUGACGGAGCAACGCCGCGUGAGUGAUGAAGGUCUUCGGAUCGUAAAACUCUGUUAUUAGGGAAGAACAAAUGUGUAAGUAACUCUGCACGUCUUGACGUUACCUACUCAGAAAGCAACGGCUAACUACGUG
rnacentral:rRNA from 1 species